AUACGUAUGUGAUCUAUUUCAAGAAACCGCUUGAUGGAGUCUCGACCGGUGGAGAGGCAUGUGCUCACAACGUGUCGUGCGGCAGCUAUCGGCUGUCAGAGUGUCAGGUCCUGAGGUUGCACAACACAUCGAUCGUAGUCAAAGACCGUCUCUUGGCACACAAUCGCAGAGGUACAUGCGUAAAUUGAGACAUUGAUAUGUAGACAGGAACAAGCAACAUUCGGGAACAUAGCUUCUUUAUUAAUUUUCUCUCUUCUCAAGAGUACAUACAAUGAAGGGUUCCUCUCAUUCCCUCAAAAAAAAAAAGGGUUCAUAGGUCAACAGUUGAAAGGAUGAGCCGAUGAGUGUCCACUUAAAGUUAACAUGGUGGG
rnacentral:lncRNA from 1 species